UUGAUCCUGCCAGUAGUCAUAUGCUUGUCUCAAAGAUUAAGCCAUGCAUGUCUCAGUACAAGCCACAUUAAGGUGAAACCGCGAAAGGCUCAUUAAAUCAGUUAUGGUUCCUUAGAUCGUACCCACAUUUACUUGGAUAACUGUGGUAAUUCUAGAGCUAAUACAUGCAAACAGAGUUCCGACCGGAGACGGGAGGAAUGCUUUUAUUAGAUCAAAACCAAUCGGCGGCGGGUGCGUUCGCGCGCCCGUUCGCCGCUCAACCUGGUGACUCUGAAUAACUUUCGGCUGAUCGCACGGUCCAGCACCGGCGACGCAUCUUUCAAAUGUCUGCCUUAUCAACUGUCGAUGGUAGGUUCUGCGCCUACCAUGGUCGUAACGGGUAACGGGGAAUCAGGGUUCGAUUCCGGAGAGGGAGCCUGAGAAACGGCUACCACAUCCAAGGAAGGCAGCAGGCGCGCAAAUUACCCACUCCCGGCACGGGGAGGUAGUGACGAAAAAUAACGAUACGGGACUCAUCCGAGGCCCCGUAAUCGGAAUGAGUACACUUUAAAUCCUUUAACGAGGAUCAAUUGGAGGGCAAGUCUGGUGCCAGCAGCCGCGGUAAUUCCAGCUCCAAUA
rnacentral:rRNA from 1 species